GGACCCGUAGCCUAGUCUGGAUAGGGCAUCAGCCUUCUAAGCUGAGGGUCGGGGGUUCGAAUCCCUCCGGGUCCG
rnacentral:tRNA from 1 species